CGUGUAGGCGGUCUGUUAAGUCUGGUGUGAAAGCCCUGGGCUCAACCCAGGAAGUGCAUUGGAUACUGGCAGACUUGAGUAUGGGAGAGGAAAGCGGAAUUCCGAGUGUAGGAGUGAAAUCCGUAGAUAUUCGGAGGAACACCAGUGGCGAAGGCGGCUUUCUGGACCAAUACUGACGCUGAGACGCGAAAGUGUGGGGAGCAAACAGGAUUAGAUACCCUGGUAGUCC
rnacentral:rRNA from 1 species